UCUUUAUGUAGUUAGAUAGGAGUCAUGUUUCUUUUUAGCUGAAAAACCUUACACCCAGAGAGACAGCCAGGUUGAUAAUGGAUAUAAGGAUGGAUUGUCAGUCCAAAGAGGGAGAGAGUAAAGAGGGGAACGUGUGGAGAAAGUACUAGGUCAGGAAGAACCAGACCUGCUGAUGGUUCCAACACCAUCAUUAAGUUUGCAGAUGACACCACGGUGAUUGGCC